AGAGUUUGAUCCUGGCUCAGAUUGAACGCUGGCGGCAUGCCUUACACAUGCAAGUCGAACGGCAGCACGGGGGCAAUCCCUGGUGGCGAGUGGCGAACGGGUGAGUAAUACAUCGGAACGUGUCCUGUAGUGGGGGAUAGCCCGGCGAAAGCCGGAUUAAUACCGCAUACGCUCUACGGAGGAAAGGGGGGGAUCUUAGGACCUCUCGCUACAGGGGCGGCCGAUGGCAGAUUAGCUAGUUGGUGGGGUAAAGGCCUACCAAGGCGACGAUCUGUAGCUGGUCUGAGAGGACGACCAGCCACACUGGGACUGAGACACGGCCCAGACUCCUACGGGAGGCAGCAGUGGGGAAUUUUGGACAAUGGGCGCAAGCCUGAUCCAGCAAUGCCGCGUGUGUGAAGAAGGCCUUCGGGUUGUAAAGCACUUUUGUCCGGAAAGAAAACCUCUGGGUUAAUACCCCGGAGGGGAUGACGGUACCGGAAGAAUAAGCACCGG
rnacentral:rRNA from 1 species